rnacentral:rRNA from 1 species
UAAGGAAUAUUGGUCAAUGGGCGUAAGCCUGAACCAGCCAUCCCGCGUGCAGGAAGACGGCGCUAUGCGUUGUAAACUGCUUUUCCAGGGGAAGAAAACCCGCUACGAGUAGCGGCUUGCCGGUACCCUGGGAAUAAGCAUCGGCUAACUCCGUGCCAGCAGCCGCGGUAAUACGGAGGAUGCGAGCGUUAUCCGGAUUUAUUGGGUUUAAAGGGUGCGUAGGCGGAUUAAUAAGUUAGCGGUGAAAACCUUCAGCUUAACUGGAGAAUUGCCACUGAUACUGUUAGUCUCGAGUACGGUCAAGGUAGGCGGAAUGUGUAAUGUAGCGGUGAAAUGCUUAGAUAUUACACAGAACACCGAUUGCGAAGGCAGCUUACUGGGCCAUUACUGACGCUGAGGCACGAAAGCGUGGGGAGCGAACAGG